AAUUUAUAUAGUUUAAAAUUAAACAUUAUACUUUCAAUAUAAAAUUAUUAAUAAAUAAAUAAUUAAUUAUAAAUA
rnacentral:tRNA from 1 species